GACGAACGCUGGCGGCGUGCUUAACACAUGCAAGUCGAACGGUAAGGCCCUUCGGGGUACACGAGUGGCGAACGGGUGAGUAACACGUGGGUGAUCUGCCCUGCACUUCGGGAUAAGCCUGGGAAACUGGGUCUAAUACCGGAUAGGACUCCGGACUGCAUGGUCUGGGGUGGAAAGCUUUUGCGGUGUGGGAUGGGCCCGCGGCCUAUCAGCUUGUUGGUGGGGUGAUGGCCUACCAAGGCGACGACGGGUAGCCGGCGUGAGAGGGUGACCGGCAAUGUUGGGACUGAGAUACGGCUCAGGCUCAUACGGGAGGCAUCAGUGGGGAAUAGUGCACAAUGGGCGCAAGCCUGAUGCAGCGACGCCGCGUGAGGGAUGACGGCCUUCGGGUUGUAAACCUCUUUCAGCAUCGACGAAGCGAAAGUGACGGUAGGUGCAGAAGAAGGACCGGCCAACUACGUGCCGGCCGCCGCCGUAA
rnacentral:rRNA from 1 species